ensembl:lncRNA LOC108351161 uncharacterized LOC108351161
UAGAAAAUGGAUGUCUGAGGGCUGGUCCUGGAAGUCAACCCCAGAAGCUUGCUGAAUUCACAGGAGGAAAAAGAUUUCAGCGUAUAGUCCUUGGUUCCAUUGAUCUUGGGCUAUGAAGAUCAUCACAGUAGCAGAAGCACGUGAAGAACAAGACCAUUCGUCUCCUACCAGAGAGAAAAGUGCCAAAGAGCUUCUCAUGGUGUACCAGCUGCUUCUUCCUGGUUCAGCAGACCCAUGCCAUUCAGAGGAGCCUUGCAGUUUCUUCUGGAUCAAGCCGCUGCUACUGAUUUAUGUUUGGUAUUUUGGACUGGACUGUUGUUCUGACAACAAAGACUGGAAUCGACCUAGAGAAUUACUUCUAAACAGGACCACAUCCCCCAUCGCCCAUUAAUCUUUCUUUUCCCUACCUCUGGUAGAUUGGCUAGAAGGGAGGUUGAAGAGUUUAAAAUUCCUUAUUAAAGUAGGUUUUGAAAAACCUAAACCUACAAAUUAUGAUUUAACUGGAAAUUUCAGAUGCAGGAAAAUUAAAAGAAAAACAAAACAAAACCUACAACCCCGGAUGUUUUGACUACGAACCUGCAGAAUUUAAUUUGUGUCAACAUUAUUUGGGUUACAAAAAAACAUGAUAGAGUUUGUGAAGCAAGAGUGAGUCGUGUCUGAAAAGGAAGUCAUUUUUAGCAUUCUGACAGGAGGAUGUGGUCUUCCAAAGUUAGAAAACUGUCACUUUUGGUAAAUGGAGCAACUAGCUUCCAGAGGAAAGGUCUUGAGUUGUUAGACAGGAAUUCUGAGUUCAAGUCCUAGGAUCUCCUUUGCUGAAGCAUUUGGACAAGUACCUUAUGUCUCUGAUUUUCAGUUGUUGUUGUUGUUUUGUAAGGGAGGGGUGAUUUUUCUCAAGACAGGGUUUCUCUGAGUAGCCCUGGCCAUCUCAGAACUCACUUUGUAGACCAGGAAACUAUGUGCAGAUCUGCCUGCCUGCUACCGCCUCUUGGAGCUCUGGGAUUAAAGGCAUGUGUCACCUCGUCUGGCUUGCAUUUCGGCUUCCUUGAUAAUGUGGUAGGCAAGAUUCUAUCAGCAAUUUUGUGUGUCCUUUUCUGUGUUUGUGAUUGUGUGCUGUGUGCGUGAGUACGAGACAGUGCGUGUGAGUGGGAUGUGCAUGUGGCACCACAGAGAUCAGAAGUCAAUGUCAGCUGUCUUCCUCC